GAUGAACGCUGGCGGCGUGCCUAAUACAUGCAAGUCGAGCGAAUGGAUUAAGAGCUUGCUCUUAUGAAGUUAGCGGCGGACGGGUGAGUAACACGUGGGUAACCUGCCCAUAAGACUGGGAUAACUCCGGGAAACCGGGGCUAAUACCGGAUAACAUCUUGAACCGCAUGGUUCGAAAUUGAAAGGCGGCUUCGGCUGUCACUUAUGGAUGGACCCGCGUCGCAUUAGCUAGUUGGUGAGGUAACGGCUAACCAAGGCAACGAUGCGUAGCCGACCUGAGAGGGUGAUCGGCCACACUGGGACUGAGACACGGCCCAGACUCCUACGGGAGGCAGCAGUAGGGAAUCUUCCGCAAUGGACGAAAGUCUGACGGAGCAACGCCGCGUGAGUGACGAAGGCUUUCGGGUCGUAAAACUCUGUUGUUAGGGAAGAACAAGUGCUAGUUGAAUAAGCUGGCACCUUGACGGUACCUAACCAGAAAGCCACGGCUAACUACGUGCCAGCAGCCGCGGUAA
rnacentral:rRNA from 1 species